GGUGUGUUGUUGUCCCUCUCCCAGUUCCUCAGGUGUGUGUGUUGUCCCCCUCUCCCGUUCCUCAGGUGUGUUGUCCCUCUCCCAGUUCCUCAGGUGUGUUGUUGUCCCCCUCUCCCAGUUCCUCAGGGUGUUGUUGUUGUCCCCCUCUCCCAGUUCCUCAGGUGUGUUGUUGUCCCCUCUCCCAGUUCCUCAGGUGUGUUGUUGUUCCCCUCUCCCAGUUCCUCAGGUGUUGUUUGUUCUCCUCUCCCAGUCCUCAGUUGUGUGUUUUGUCCCCCUCUCCAGUUCCUCAGUGUGUUGUUGUCCCUCUCUCCCAGUUCCUAGGUGUGUUUUGUCCCUCUCUCCAGUUCUCAGGUGUGUUGUGUCCCCUCUCCCAGUUCCUCAGGUGUGUUGUUGUCCCCCUCUCCCAGUUCCUCAGGUGUGUUGUUGUCCCCCUCUCCCAGUUCCUCAGGUGUGUUGUUGCCCCCUCUCCCAGUUCCUCAGGUGGUUGUUGUCCCCUUCC
rnacentral:lncRNA from 1 species